rnacentral:rRNA from 1 species
CACGUAGGGCGCAAGCGUUGUCCGGAAUUAUUGGGCGUAAAGAGCUCGUAGGCGGUUUGUUGCGUCGGCUGUGAAAUCCCGAGGCUCAACCUCGGGUCUGCAGUCGAUACGAGCAAACUAGAGUGUUGCAGGGGAGACUGGAAUUCCUGGUGUAGCGGUGAAAUGCGCAGAUAUCAGGAGGAACACCGGUGGCGAAGGCGGGUCUCUGGGCAACAACUGACGCUGGAGGAGCGAAAGCGUGGGGAGCGAACAGG